UACGAAGGGGCUAGCGUUGUUCGGAGUUACUGGGCGUAAAGGGUGCGUAGGUGGCGUGGUAAGUCAGAUGUGAAAGCCCGGGGCUCAACCUCGGAAUUGCAUCCGAUACUACCAUGCUAGAGUACUGAAGAGGUGACUAGAAUUCUCGGUGUAGCAGUGAAAUGCGUAGAUAUCUGGAGGAACACCGGUGGCGAAGGCGGCAUCUGGACCGGGCAUUGACGCUGAGGCGGCGAAAAGCCAGGGGAGCAAACGGG
rnacentral:rRNA from 1 species